rnacentral:rRNA from 1 species
AUACGGAGGGUGCGAGCGUUAAUCGGAAUCACUGGGCGUAAAGCGCGCGUAGGCGGCCAUGCAAGUCGGAUGUGAAAGCCCUCGGCUCAACCGAGGAAUUGCAUUCGAAACUGCAUGGCUGGAGUCUCGGAGAGGGUGGCGGAAUUCCCGGUGUAGGAGUGAAAUCCGUAGAUAUCGGGAGGAACACCAGUGGCGAAGGCGGCCACCUGGACGAUGACUGACGCUGAGGUGCGAAAGCGUGGGUAGCAAACAGGAUUAGAUACCCUGGUAGUCCACGCUGUAAACGAUGGAUGCUAGGUGUCGGGGGUUCACCCCUCGGUGCCGCAGUAAACGCGAUAAGCAUCCCGCCUGGGGAGUACGGUCGCAAGGCUGAA